UACGUAGGGGGCAAGCGUUGUCCGGAAUCAUUGGGGCGUAAAGAGCGUGUAGGCGGCUCGGUAAGUCCGCUCUGAAAGCCCGGGGGCUCAACCCCCGGGAGGCGGGCGGAUACUGUCGGGCUAGAGUCCGGAAGAGGCGAGUGGAAUUCCUGGUGUAGCGGUGAAAUGCGCAGAUAUCAGGAGGAACACCGAUGGCGAAGGCAGCUCGCUGGGACGGUACUGACGCUGAG
rnacentral:rRNA from 1 species